rnacentral:rRNA from 1 species
AUUGAACGCUGGCGGCAUGCUUUACACAUGCAAGUCGAACGGUAACAGGCCGCAAGGUGCUGACGAGUGGCGAACGGGUGCGUAAUGCAUCGGAACGUGCCCAGUCGUGGGGGAUAACUACUCGAAAGAGUAGCUAAUACCGCAUACGAUCUAUGGAUGAAAGCGGGGGACCGUAAGGCCUCGCGCGAUUGGAGCGGCCGAUGUCAGAUUAGGUAGUUGGUGGGGUAAAGGCUCACCAAGCCAACGAUCUGUAGCUGGUCUGAGAGGACGACCAGCCACACUGGGACUGAGACACGGCCCAGACUCCUACGGGAGGCAGCAGUGGGGAAUUUUGGACAAUGGGCGAAAGCCUGAUCCAGCAAUGCCGCGUGCAGGAAGAAGGCCUUCGGGUUGUAAACUGCUUUUGUACGGAACGAAACGGCUCUGGUUAAUACCCGGGGCUAAUGACGGUACCGUAAGAAUAAGCACCGGCUAACUACGUG